rnacentral:rRNA from 1 species
AUUGAACGCUGGCGGCAGGCUUAACACAUGCAAGUCGAGCGAGCGGCGGACGGGUGAGUAAUGUCUGGGAAAAUGCCUGAUGGCGGGGGAUAACUACUGGAAACGGUAGCUAAUACCGCAUACAAUCAGAUGUGCCCAGAUGGGAUUAGCUAGGAGGUGGGGUAAUGGCCCACCUAGGCGACGAUCCCUAGCUGGUCUGAGAGGAUGACCAGCCACACUGGAACUGAGACACGGCCCAGCCUCCUACGGGAGGCAGCAGGGGGUAAGAUUGCACAAUGGGCGCAAGCCUGAUGCUGCCAUGCCGCGUGUGUGAAGAAGGCCUUCGGGUUGAAAAGCACUUUCAGCGAGGAGGCGUUACUCGCAGAAGAAGCACCGGCUAACUCCGUGCCAGCCGCCGCGGUAAUUC